rnacentral:rRNA from 1 species
UACGAGCGGCCCAACCGUUAUUCGGAAUUACUGGGCUUAAAGAGUUCGUAGGCGGCGCAGAAAGUAGGGUGUGAAAGCCCUCGGCUUAACCGAGGAAUUGCGCUCUAAACUACUGUGCUUGAGGAACCUAGAGGUGAGCAGAACAGAUGGUGGAGCGGUGAAAUGCGUUGAUAUCAUCUGGAAUACCGGAGGCGAAGGCGGCUCACUGGGGGUUUUCUGACGCUGAGGAACGAAAGCCAGGGUAGCGAACGGG